rnacentral:lncRNA from 1 species
GAAAGAGGAAAAGCAAACUUUCCCCAUUUACGGUCACAUGGAGAGUUUACCAAGGAAUAAUGGUCAUUAAAUUACAUGAGAGAGUAUUGAAAACGGAAUCUGACUUUGGGCAGUGGGAAAUUUCCUCCAUUAAUGCUUUUAAAACUAGUUUUUAAAGAAAAGAAAAAAAUGGAUCUGAACUUAAUAAAGUGACGUUCGAAUACAUCUCUCCUUUCCCACUUUAAAAUCCUAACAUUUCUCUCUCUCUAUUAAACACUCCUCCUAAAUAAGAAUUGGAAUAAUAAAACAAUUAAAUAGGAAUUAAAAUGUUGUCAUCCCAAACCAAAUACACACAAGCCGCAUUAUUGCCGACUUCUCCACUUUCUCACGACCUUCUCUCUCUGCCGUUUCAUUCUCUCUCUCCAAAUGAAACAAACCGCUUCCUUUUAGCUUCUCUAACAUUACUUAAAAGAAACACUUACCUCUAAUCAGCAUAAAACCCCCUUCAACAUCACAAAAGUAGAUCUAUAUUCUACAGCCAUACAUCCUAUGAAUCCUAAUCGCAAACGAAACCCAAAUAUCGAACCCGAAACCAAACCAUAUAUUUACAUAGGUGCAAGGUUGCGGGAAGAAAAAGAAGAACUAUGCAUGCAUUUGGUUGUAUCAAAGUAACUCAAAAUCAACAAUAAUAGCAAGGGAUUUUACCAGAUCGAGGUAUCUUGAGGAUGAACGAACGGGUAUGUGAGUCUCGAUCUCUUCUGCUUCUUUUGAAUCCGCUUCUUUGAUCGCAGUGACUAUAAGGAGGUGUUUGUGUUUUGAAAAAAAAGAUCCUGCUGCUGGGUUUUCAAAAACAGAUCACUCUGUUAUCUUCUGUGUGGGUUCUUUAGUUUUUUUUCGAAAAAAUUGUUUUUUUGUUCUUGUUGUUACGUUCUUGCUGUUAGCUUUUUUAGGACUUUUUGAAAAUAUUGCUCUGUUGUUUUGGGUUUGAAAAAAAAUGAAUUGCUUUGUUCUGUUGGAUCUCAAAAACGUAUCCUCUCACUGUUAAUUGAUUUUGUUAUAUAUGAAUGUUGGUUUCUGUGAGAUAACUUAUUGGAUCUUGUUUCCAGAUUUUAUGGGAUGUUUGCUUUGUGGAUUUAAGGUUGUUUAUUUGGAUAUUGGAAUGUGUUUUUUUGGUGUUUUCUUUGAUUCAUCGUGCAACAUACUUACCUGUUUAUUUAAUCGUUUAUUUUCCAGUUUGUUUUAAGUGCUUAUUUGAUAAGCCUUUUCUUUGAAUUGUUUUUUUUGCAGGUGAAGUGAUGUUGAUUAGGAAAGGAGGCGGCGCCAGCUUGGGAUUGGGGCGUUGGAGCAUCCAAAAGAGCUUUUGGAAAAGUCUUGGAAGCUGUUUCAAUCUGUUGGAUACUCAACUUGUUCAAUUUUUCUUCAAAUUUAUUUAGCUGUAACAAAACUUUUGGAUUGUAACUUUAGGGACUAAUCAUGUAACCUCUGUUGAAUUAUUUGUAAGAUCUGCAUAUUUUAAACUCUUUUGAUUAUGCCUUGGCCUUUUUUGGAGUAAUUUGUAACAUUUGGAUUUAAUUAGAACUUUGAAUUUAAUUGGAACUUUGACUAUGAAAAAUUGGGGUUGAAACGUAUAACCUC